rnacentral:rRNA from 1 species
UUGAUGGGUAGGGGAGCGUCGUGCAGCCGGCGAAGCAGCAGAGUGAUCUAGUUGUGGAGGCUGUGCGAGUGAGAAUGCAGGCAUGAGUAGCGAAUCGAGGGUGAGAAACCCUCGCGCCGAAUGACCAAGGGUUCCUGGGGCAGGCUAAUCCGCCCAGGGUAAGUCGGGACCUAAGGCGAGGCCGACAGGCGUAGUCGAUGGACAACGGGUUGAUAUUCCCGUACCCGCUUCAAUGCGCCCAUAUCGAACCUCGUGAUGCUAAGAGUCCUUAAGUCCUCUGAUGUCCUUCGGGACUAGGGGUGAGGCUGAACGCUCGAUCCGAUCGGGUAGUAGGUAAGCGAUGGGGUGACGCAGGAAGGUAGUCCAGCCCAGGCGAUGGUUGUCCUGGGGUAAGCAUGUAGGGCGUGUCGUAGGUAAAUCCGCGGCAUUUAAGCCUGAGAUGUGAUGCCGAGCCGAUUGUGGUGAAGUGGAUGAUCCUAUGCUGCCGAGAAAAGCCUCUAGUGAGUGUUGUGGCGGCCCGUACCCUAAACCGACUCAGGAGGUCAGGUAGAGAAUACCAAGGCGAUCGGGUGAACUGUGGUUAAGGAACUCGGCAAAUUGCCCCCGUAACUUCGGGAGAAGGGGGACCUCUGUUGGUGAUGGGCUUUACGCCUGGAGCUGGUGGGGGUCGCAGUGGCCAGGGGGAAGCGACUGUUUACUAAAAACACAGGUCCGUGCGAAGUCGUAAGACGAUGUAUACGGACUGACGCCUGCCCGGUGCCGGAACGUUAAGGGGACCGCUUAGCCGACGUGAGUUGGCGAAGGUGAGAACUUAAGCGCCGGUAAACGGCGGUGGUAACUAGAACCAUCCUAAGGUAGCGAAAUUCCUUGUCGGGUAAGUUCCGACCUGCACGAAUGGCGUAACGACUUCCCCGCUGUCUCAACCGCAGACCCGGCGAAAUUGCACUACGAGUAAAGAUGCUCGUUUCGCGCAGCAGGACGGAAAGACCCCGGGACCUUCACUACAGCUUGACAUUGGCGUUUGGAACGUCUUGUGUAGGAUAGGUGGGAGACUGGGAAGCUGUCACGCUAGUGAUGGUGGAGUCAUUGGUGAAAUACCACUCUGGUCGUUUUGAACGUCUAACUCUGGUCCGUGAUCCGGAUCGGGGGCAGUGUCUGGUGGGUAGUUUAACUGGGGCGGUUGCCUCCUAAAGAGUAACGGAGGCGCCCAAAGGUUCCCUCAGCCUGGUUGGCAAUCAGGUGUUGAGUGUAAGUGCACAAGGGAGUUUGACUGUGAGACUGACAGGUCGAGCAGGAGCGAAAGCUGGGACUAGUGAUCCGGCAUCUGCGUGUGGAAGCGGUGUCGCUCAACGGCUAAAAGGUACCCCGGGGAUAACAGGCUGAUCUUCCCCAAGAGUCCAUAUCGACGGGAUGGUUUGGCACCUCGAUGUCGGCUCGUCGCAUCCUC